rnacentral:rRNA from 1 species
UACAGAGGGUGCGAGCGUUGUCCGGAAUCACUGGGCGUAAAGGGCGCGUAGGCGGCCUGAUAAGUAGGGGGUGAAAUCCUGUGGCUUAACUGCAGGGCUGCCUCCUAGACUGUUAGGCUCGAGCACGGUAGAGGCAGAUGGAAUUCCCGGUGUAGCGGUGGAAUGCGUAGAGAUCGGGAAGAACAUCGGUGGCGAAGGCGGUCUGCUGGGCCGUUGCUGACGCUGAGGCGCGAAAGCGUGGGGAGCGAACAGG